rnacentral:tmRNA from 1 species
UCGGGACUAUGGACAUAAACGCGCUCGUAAUACGCGGAUCGGACCCGGGGGCGGUACCCGGCGACUCCACCAACCACCGUUCAUUUGGCGGAUUUGGGGUCGAAAUAGGAUCGACGAACGUCUAAAGGGGUUAGCUUUGUUUCGGCGAGAUACCACCGUAUCGGUUCAAAACGUACAAUUGCAAAUGACAAUCGUGCACCGGUAGCAAUGGCUGCGUAAGCAGUCGGCGAGACCGAACAUUAAGUCCAGUCCCUUUGCAGGGCCUGGCGGGGUUCGCAGGCACCUGGCAACAGAAGCCUGCACU